UGGGCUUGACAUGUGGGUCAUACCCGUGUUUCCACGGGUAUGACCCACAUGUCAAGCCCAGGUAAGGUUCUUCGCGUUGCGUCGAAUUAAACCACAUGCUCCGCUGCUUGUGCGGGCCCCCGUCAAUUCCUUUGAGUUUUAGCCUUGCGGCCGUACUCCCCAGGCGGGGCACUUAAUGCGUUAGCUUCGGCACGGAGGGAGUCGACACCCCCCACACCUAGUGCCCAUCGUUUACAGCGUGGACUAC
rnacentral:misc_RNA from 1 species